rnacentral:rRNA from 1 species
AGAGUUUGAUCCUGGCUCAGGAUGAACGCUAGCGGCAGGCUUAAUACAUGCAAGUCGUGGGGCAGCAUGGGGUAGCAAUACUCUGAUGGCGACCGGCAAACGGGUGAGGAACAUGUACGCAACCUUCCUUUAACUGGAGAAUAGCCCCUCGAAAGAGGGAUUAAUACUCCGUAACAUAAUGAUAAGGCAUCUUAUUAUUAUUAUAGCUUCGGCGGUUAAAGAUGGGCGUGCAUCUGAUUAGAUAGUUGGCGGGGUAACGGCCCACCAAGUCUGCGAUCAGUAAUUGGUGUGAGAGCACGACCAGUCACACGGGCACUGAGACACGGGCCCGACUCCUACGGGAGGCAGCAGUAAGGAAUAUUGGUCAAUGGACGCAAGUCUGAACCAGCCAUGCCGCGUGGAGGAUUAAGGCCCUCUGGGUUGUAAACUCCUUUUAUCUGGGAAGAAAUGUACUUUUUCUUGAGUACUUGACGGUACCAGAGGAAUAAGCACCGGCUAACUCCGUGCCAGCAGCCGCGGUAAUACGGAGGGUGCAAGCGUUAUCCGGAUUCACUGGGUUUAAAGGGUGCGUGGGCGGGCAGGUAAGUCAGUGGUGAAAUCUCCGAGCUUAACUCGGAAACUGCCAUUGAUACUAUUUGUCUUGAAUAUUGUGGAGGUAAGCGGAAUAUGUCAUGUAGCGGUGAAAUGCUUAGAUAUGACAUAGAACACCAAUUGCGAAGGCAGCUUACUACACAAUUAUUGACGCUGAGGCACGAAAGCGUGGGGAUCAACAGGAUUAGAUACCCUGGUAGUCCACGCCCUAAACGAUGAUUACUCGACAUACGCGAUACACUG